CACCGCGGUUAUACGAGAGGCCCAAGCUGACAGUCACCGGCGUAAAGAGUGGUUAAUAACCCCAUAACAAUAAAGUCGAACAUCUCCAAAGUUGUUUAAUACAUUCGAAGAUAUGAAGAUCUACCACGAAAGUGACUUUACACUCUUUGAACCCACGAAAGCUAGGGAA
rnacentral:rRNA from 1 species